rnacentral:rRNA from 1 species
CACCUACGGGACGCAGCAGUGGGGAAUAUUGCACAAUGGGGGGAACCCUGAUGCAGCGACGCCGCGUGAGUGAAGAAGUAUUUCGGCAUGUAAAGCUCUAUCAGCAGGGAAGAAAAUGACGGUACCUGACUAAGAAGCCCCGGCUAACUACGUGCCAGCAGCCGCGGUAAUACGUAGGGGGCAAGCGUUAUCCGGAUUUACUGGGUGUAAAGGGAGCGCAGACGGCUGUGCAAGUCUGGAGUGAAAGGCGG